rnacentral:rRNA from 1 species
GACAGAGGGUGCAAACGUUGUUCGGAAUUACUGGGCGUAAAGCGCGUGUAGGCUGCUCGGAAAGUCGGAUGUGAAAGCCCUGGGCUUAACCCAGGAAGUGCAUUCGAAACUCCCGAGCUUGAGUCUCGGAGAGGAAGGCGGAAUUCUCGGUGUAGAGGUGAAAUGCGUAGAGAUCGGGAGGAAGGCCGGUGGCGAAGGCGGCGCUCUGGAACGUUUCUGACGCUGAGGCUCGAAAGCGUGGGGAGCAAACAGG